GGGACGUCUGAGGAAUGAAGUUUGUCUCGGUGGAAAUAUUUAGAAACGUGAGGAGGUGAAAUUUCGAUGAGAAAACGAGGAAAUCCCCCCUCCCUCUGCUCACUGCUGUGGAAUGUCUGAGCUCAGCAGAAGCAGCGAGACUCAGCAGAGCGGCAUGUGGUCUGCAGGUGCCCAAGUCCAGAUCCUCUAAACCAAGAUGCUUUUAAAGAGACAGUCUGGAAUUUUGGACGUAGCACCUCAUUUCCUUGUGAGUCAGAGUGUUGGAGACGUGUGGAG